rnacentral:rRNA from 1 species
AAUAUUGCGCAAUGGACGGAAGUCUGACGCAGCGACGCCGCGUGAGCGAUGAAGGUCNNNGGAUCNUCAAGCUCUGUCCUUGGNGACNAAGGUCUUCGGACUUGACGGUACCCAAGAAGAAAGCCCCGGCUAACUACGUGCCAGCAGCCGCGGGAAUACGUAGGGGGCGAGCGUUGUCCGGAAUUACUGGGCGUAAAGGGUGCGUAGGCGGCCCUUUAAGUCGGAUGUGAAAGCCCGCGGCUUAACCGCGGAAUGGCAUUCGAAACUGGAGGGCUUGAGUGUCGGAGAGGGUAGUGGAAUUCCCAGUGUAGCGGUGAAAUGCGUAGAUAUUGGGAGGAACACCAGUGGCGAAGGCGACUACCUGGACGAUAACUGACGCUGAGGCACGAAAGCUAGGGGAGCAAACA